rnacentral:rRNA from 1 species
AUUGAACGCUGGCGGCAUGCUUUACACAUGCAAGUCGAACGGCAGCGCGGGCUUCGGCCUGGCGGCGAGUGGCGAACGGGUGAGUAAUGCAUCGGAACGUGCCCAGUAGUGGGGGAUAGCCCGGCGAAAGCCGGAUUAAUACCGCAUACGACCUGAGGGUGAAAGCGGGGGACCGAAAGGCCUCGCGCUAUUGGAGCGGCCGAUGUCGGAUUAGCUAGUUGGUGGGGUAAAGGCUUACCAAGGCGACGAUCCGUAGCUGGUCUGAGAGGACGACCAGCCACACUGGGACUGAGACACGGCCCAGACUCCUACGGGAGGCAGCAGUGGGGAAUUUUGGACAAUGGGGGCAACCCUGAUCCAGCCAUGCCGCGUGCGGGAAGAAGGCCUUCGGGAUGUAAACCGCUUUUGUUCGGGAAGAAAUCCUCUGGGCUAAUACCCCGGGGGGAUGACGGUACCGGAAGAAUAAGCACCGGCUAACUACGUG